GACUCUUCCUGAAUUCAUGUACUUGUAUCUUGAGGCUUGCAUUCACUAGUCUCCAGAAAGCAUGAAAUAGACCAGUUUCACUACGCCUCAUACUCUAUAGCCAUGGAAUCUGCAGUGAGCAUCAGGUAUAGCUGGCUUUCUAUGGUGCUCCUUUUCAUUCCCAAUUCACCCAGCCCGGCCUCCAGAAGAGAAAGGCUGCAGUCAACUUGACAUCUCAAAACACCUCCUCAGAACACCAGAGGAGUAGAAGAGGUGCACAAGUGGCUGAGGAGGAUUUUCAACAGAAAGAGCUCCAGUGAUGGUAGAAGCUGCAGAAAUAAUGUUGGGAAUGCAUUAUUGGAUGCAAAUGUUGGAGAAGAGUGAGGAGCCUAAGUAAUUCUUCCUGUUGUGCUUUGCAUAACUGAGCCUAUGUUGUUCCUAUUAGAAAGAGAGGUUUUCCUAUACUAUUUUCUGUAGGAAAAAAAGAACACAGAGGUUUUAUUUUUUGCAGUGGAAGACUCAGAUUAAACUCCCA